rnacentral:rRNA from 1 species
GACGCUGAUGCGUUGUUGGGUAGGGGAGCGUUCUGUAAGCCUGUGAAGGUGGCCUGUGAGGGUUGCUGGAGGUAUCAGAAGUGCGAAUGCUGACAUAAGUAACGAUAAAGCGGGUGAAAAGCCCGCUCGCCGGAAGACCAAGGGUUCCUGUCCAACGUUAAUCGGGGCAGGGUGAGUCGACCCCUAAGGCGAGGCCGAAAGGCGUAGUCGAUGGGAAACGGGUUAAUAUUCCCGUACUUGGUGUUACUGCGAAGGGGGGACGGAGAAGGCUAUGUUGGCCGGGCGACGGUUGUCCCGGUUUAAGCGUGUAGGUGUGUGUUCCAGGUAAAUCCGGUUCACUUUAACACUGAGGCGUGAUGACGAGGCACUACGGUGCUGAAGCAACAAAUGCCCUGCUUCCAGGAAAAGCCUCUAAGCAUCAGGUAACAUCAAAUCGUACCCCAAACCGACACAGGUGGUCAGGUAGAGAAUACCAAGGCGCUUGAGAGAACUCGGGUGAAGGAACUAGGCAAAAUGGUGCCGUAACUUCGGGAGAAGGCACGCUGACACGUAGGUGAAGUGAUUUACUCACGGAGCUGAAGUCAGUCGAAGAUACCAGCUGGCUGCAACUGUUUAUUAAAAACACAGCACUGUGCAAACACGAAAGUGGACGUAUACGGUGUGACGCCUGCCCGGUGCCGGAAGGUUAAUUGAUGGGGUCAGCGCAAGCGAAGCUCCUGAUCGAAGCCCCGGUAAACGGCGGCCGUAACUAUAACGGUCCUAAGGUAGCGAAAUUCCUUGUCGGGUAAGUUCCGACCUGCACGAAUGGCGUAAUGAUGGCCAGGCUGUCUCCACCCGAGACUCAGUGAAAUUGAACUCGCUGUGAAGAUGCAGUGUACCCGCGGCAAGACGGAAAGACCCCGUGAACCUUUACUAUAGCUUGACACUGAACAUUGAGCCUUGAUGUGUAGGAUAGGUGGGAGGCUUUGAAGUGUGGACGCCAGUCUGCAUGGAGCCGACCUUGAAAUACCACCCUUUAAUGUUUGAUGUUCUAACGUGGACCCGUAAUCCGGGUUGCGGACAGUGUCUGGUGGGUAGUUUGACUGGGGCGGUCUCCUCCUAAAGAGUAACGGAGGAGCACGAAGGUUGGCUAAUCCUGGUCGGACAUCAGGAGGUUAGUGCAAUGGCAUAAGCCAGCUUGACUGCGAGCGUGACGGCGCGAGCAGGUGCGAAAGCAGGUCAUAGUGAUCCGGUGGUUCUGAAUGGAAGGGCCAUCGCUCAACGGAUAAAAGGUACUCCGGGGAUAACAGGCUGAUACCGCCCAAGAGUUCAUAUCGACGGCGGUGUUUGGCACCUCGAUGUCGGCUCAUCACAUCCUGGGGCUGAAGUAGGUCCCAAGGGUAUGGCUGUUCGCCAUUUAAAGUGGUACGCGAGCUGGGUUUAGAACGUCGUGAGACAGUUCGGUCCCUAUCUGCCGUGGGCGCUGGAGAACUGAGGGGGGCUGCUCCUAGUACGAGAGGACCGGAGUGGACGCAUCACUGGUGUUCGGGUUGUCAUGCCAAUGGCACUGCCCGGUAGCUAAAUGCGGAAGAGAUAAGUGCUGAAAGCAUCUAAGCACGAAACUUGCCCCGAGAUGAGUUCUCCCUGAGACUUUAAGUCUCCUGAAGGAACGUUGAAGACGACGACGUUGAUAGGCCGGGUGUGUAAGCGCAGCGAUGCGUUGAGCUAACCGGUACUAAUGAACCGUGAGGCU